rnacentral:lncRNA from 1 species
CUGAAGUUAUGAAUUUUUAAUUGUUCAUUGAUGUAAACAUUUCUUUCUCUAACAGACUGUUGCAAAUUGCGACUGUUACUAGUUCUUUUUCAAUUUGUUUGUUGCAGCACUAGUGAUUUUUUGCUGUCGUACGUUCUAUUUGCCGAGUACAUCAAUUAAUUAAAGUAAAUGUCCAUGAGAAAAGUCAAAUGUGCCAUGAGAAUUUGUUGUGGGAUAAUCCUGUUUUUGCGUUCGUCUUAAGUCCCUUGAUAAAAUAAAUUAAAAGUGAGGCUGCCGAUGCAAUGCAACGUAAAAAUCUAAUGAAACUUCUAUUUGGAUUUGCAAUUUUGUUUGCGUAAAAGUAUUUUCUAUCUUAUCUUAUCUUUAACAUGUAAUAAAAAUUCAAAAAUAUCUUAUCAUUAACGGGUCUAUUUAGAUACUACCUUGUAUCGAAGCAAUUUUUUUUUGGUUUUGUUGAAUUACCGUAACUUACCUUUACUUUUGAAAAAAAUAGUUAACAUUAUCUGUAUCUUAAGGGUAAAAAAAAUCACUGAUGUUGUCAAUGGGAUUUGAUGACUACUGCAAGUAGAAAAGUGUUUGUAAGCGUGAUGAUAAAUCGCAUUAAUUAUAAUCAUAAUGUUUCUUUUUCUUUUUAACAACUCAAUUACUAUAAUACUGUCAAAAUAUAAUAACUUUUCAUUUCAAAAGAUUUAAUUCCUUGUAUCUUUAUAUCUUUAUUAUCGUGUUUAUGUACCUAUAACAAGUAUUGUAUUUAUUUUGGAAUGGGUGGGGCAAUCAACGAAAAAACAGUGCGUGCGCCAUAUGUCACAGUCUUAAAAACAUUUUUCUCUGAUUAGCUCUGACUGGGUAACGCUUUGACGCCAUAGGAGGUAUUGAAGAUUACGGGCCUUAACCAUUAAGUAGGCUUUGGGACUCUAUCGCCUCUGUACUAAUCAGAUUUACCCCAAAUAUUCCGUAUAUUGAAGAAAGUUGUCGUAGUGUCCACCAACCAAAUGAAAACAAAACUAAUCUGUUCGUUACCUCCACGACCGACGUCUCGGAUCCUAAUAGAACUUACAGAAACCCACGAAUACACAAAACAUUACACAAUGACUGCGGAUAUCGCCAUUCUUCAACGGAACACAAACGAUCACUAAGCCCAAAAACGCGAUAAGUUCCUCUAUUAACUCUCCAUUCUCAACCUAAAAUCUCACUCGUAAUCCACCUAAAUAACUCAGAUGGCUACGGGUGUAUAGCCAUUCUUAUCAAAAGCCACCUUAAAUUUUAACCUUAUUUCACAUAUCCAACUAGACUACAAUGUAGGGUAAAAGAGCGAAUUGGGACAGCGUUUGGGCAAACAGUCUUCCUUAUGGAGAAUGCGUGUAAAGCCGAUCUGCUAAUUUGGGACAAAAACCCUAAUUCGUGGGACACUUUUUCUAAUUUGGGACAAUCAUAUUUUUGAAAACUAAUUCAUUCAUUCGAUUCAGUUUUUAAUUCUGAAUCGAUUUGCUUAAGACACCAAACGGGGUGCAAUAGGAAAAUAUUGCGAAAUUUAUGAUUUAAAAAACCAAAACAAAGAGCUGUCAAAACGAGACUUCAUCUGUACAGGCCUGUGUACUUGCAAUCGAAACUCAUGUCAACCACAAAAUAUUUAUUUUUUAUAAAUUUAUAUCAUACUGUUCUCUUUAAGUAGCCAAUAGGCCAUCAUAUCAUGGUAAAAAACAAAAAAAAUAAACGUGCCUGGAAUUUUCGAGAAAA